AACAUCACAGCAGGUCUAAUUCUAGUGCAGACUGAUCAUCCUUCAGUUGCCUGACACCCAGCCUGCAGAAUACGUUCAGAAUUAAGCAGAGACCUGGGCUGUAAAGAACAUCAGGUGUGGAAGAUUUCCCAGUUGAUUUGCAAGAAACCUGGGGAUUUAGUUGACUCUCAUUUUGGCCACUCAGAUGUUUGUGCGUCAAGAGAAUCUAUGAGCCAAAAGCAACUCCUCCAUCUUCCACUGGAGACUGCUUUUCUCUGCAAGGUAGCCCCUAAGAACAACAGUGAGACUUGAAGUUUUCCAAGGAAUGAAGUUAAAAUAAAUGAAUUCACUGCUUGAAAGUGAUGGUGUUACCCUGCAGGACAAUCAGUCUAGAGCCUGAUCUGACAAGAAGGCAGAAGAUUGGUGCUGAUGCUGAGCCGCCUGAGGAUGCUGCAAUUCUAUAGGACAGUCCUUCCUGGAGGCUUGGCUAUGGAACAAAUCAGACGCGCACAUCCCCUCUGAACUCUGAGUGGGGUCCGGGACAGUGAGCGGCCAUCUUGAGUGUCUGCUGUAUCCAGAAACUAUGGAAGUGGAAAAUACCUGACCGUCUUGACAGUUCUACAAGUGCAAUCCCUAACAUUGUCUAUCACGCCUGCACAGACACGUGUCUAUUGUAGAAUCACAAAGGAGCCAGCCACAGCCCUUUCAGUUCCAAAAGGCUGACCACCCGGAGCUUUCUUCUUAUAGCUGGUCGAGCUAGCAGCCCUUUGGCUCACACCUUCUCACUUAUGAGUGGUGAGCUAAGAUGUGUUUAAACUGCAGUAACAUUUACUCCCACCGGAACAGCAGAGAAGGAAGUCGCACGCAGCUGUUGGGGAGGAGGGUCGAAAACAGGAAGAUGGCGUUUUCUCCCAGUACUUUCAUGGUUGAUGAAUGAGAUCUGGGUUUCAGAGGAUAAAAAUCUCAAUUCUGAGGAAUUGGUAUUGCAUGGAUAUUUCUCAUGAAUAAUUCAAAUACUGACCUCAGACCUGUGUAUAUGGACGUACAAACACUAAGGGAGCUAAAAAUAAAACAAAGAAGCAGAGAAAGAAAAGGCGUGUUAACCGCGGCGAUCCAGCAUCAGUGUUCGUGAUGGUUAACUGAAGGGCCCGGAUAGCUGAUAAACAUGGUCUCUGGGUCCAUCUGGAGAUGAGCAGUGACCAAAUCACAGCACAGAGAAGAUCUGCCUUCCGGAGGGCACCGCCCAAUCUGUUGAACGGGGCUGUGAGGGUAAAUUCUCUGUCUAAUCUCCUGCUCUUAGGCAAUGAGCUCCUGGCUGUUGUUGUUGUUGUUAUUAUUAUUAUUACUCCAUGGCAUAAGUCAGAGCCCACUACCCUUGCCUGGGCAGAGCAGCAUUGAUCCCGUAGUUCUCAGGUAUUCACAUUUAAGCCUGUUCUUACAAGAAAAUUCCCAUCUCUCCCCUUUCUCAUUUAAAAAAAAAAAAAAAAAAAAAGCAUGUUUUUUUUCUUUAGUGUAGGCUGCUCUGGAAGAUGUUCUGUAGCUCAGGCUAGACUUGAAUUUAUGAUUCGCCUUCUAUCUCAGCCUCCUGAGGGCCAGGAUUACAAACAUGAGCCACGAUGCUUGGUUUGUGCCUUUAUCUGUUCUCAACUAUUUGCCUUUCUGCUUCCCACCAGGCGGCAAUGGGACAAGGUGACCUUUGCCAGAUGUCAGCGACUUGGUUUUGACCUUUUCUGCUGCCCAAAUUGUGAGACGCACAUUAUUAAAAAAAAAAAAAAAAGACCUUU